UACGAAGGGGGCUAGCGUUGCUCGGAAUCACUGGGCGUAAAGCGCACGUAGGCGGCUUCUUAAGUCAGGGGUGAAAUCCUGGAGCUCAACUCCAGAACUGCCUUUGAUACUGAGGAGCUUGAGUCCGGGAGAGGUGAGUGGAACUCCGAGUGUAGAGGUGAAAUUCGUAGAUAUUCGGAAGAACACCCGAUGGCGAAGGCGGUCUCUGGACGG
rnacentral:rRNA from 1 species